CUCGUACCGGGCGAAUUCAACGCUUCCUACGGGAGGCAGCAGUGGGGAAUAUUGCACAAUGGGCGAAAGCCUGAUGCAGCAACGCCGCGUGAGGGAUGACGGCCUUCGGGUUGUAAACCUCUUUUAGUAGGGAAGAAGCGUAAGUGACGGUACCUGCAGAAAAAGCACCGGCUAACUACGUGCCAGCAGCCGCGGUAAUA
rnacentral:rRNA from 1 species